rnacentral:rRNA from 1 species
CCUAGGUCGUAUCACGCUGAGAGCACCGGUUCUCAUCCGAUCACCGAAGUUAAGCAACGUCGAGCAUAGUGAGUACUUAGAUGGGUGACCGCUUGGGAAACCUAGGUGCUGUAAGGG